rnacentral:tRNA from 1 species
ACCUGGCUGGCUCAGUUGGUAGAGCAUGUGACUCUGAAUCUCAGUGUUGUGGGUUGGAGCCCAGUGUUGGGUG